UACGUAGGGGGCUAGCGUUGUCCGGAAUCAUUGGGCGUAAAGAGCGUGUAGGCGGCUCGGUAAGUCCGCUGUGAAAGUCCAGGGCUCAACCCUGGAAUGCCAGUGGAAACUGUCGAGCUAGAGUCCGGAAGAGGCGAGUGGAAUUCCUGGUGUAGCGGUGAAAUGCGCAGAUAUCAGGAGGAACACCAAUGGCGAAGGCAGCUCGCUGGGACGGUACUGACGCUGAGACGCGAAAGCGUGGGGAGCGAUCCGG
rnacentral:rRNA from 1 species